CAGCAGCCGCGGUAAUACGGAGGGUGCGAGCGUUAAUCGGAAUUACUGGGCGUAAAGCGUACGCAGGCGGUUUGUUAAGCGAGAUGUGAAAGCCCCGGGCUCAACCUGGGAACUGCAUUUCGAACUGGCAAACUAGAGUGUGAUAGAGGGUGGUAGAAUUUCAGGUGUAGCGGUGAAAUGCGUAGAGAUCUGAAGGAAUACCGAUGGCGAAGGCAGCCACCUGGGUCAACACUGACGCUCAUGUACGAAAGCGUGGGGAGCAAACGGGAUUAGAUACCCCGGUAGUCCACGCCGUAAACGAUGUCUACUAGAAGCUCGGAGCCUCGGUUCUGUUUUUCAAAGCUAACGCAUUAAGUAGACCGCCUGGGGAGUACGGCCGCAAGGUUAAAACUCAAAGGAAUUGACGG
rnacentral:rRNA from 1 species